rnacentral:rRNA from 1 species
UACGGGGGGGGCAAGCGUUGUUCGGAAUUACUGGGCGUAAAGGGCUCGUAGGCGGCCAACUAAGUCAGACGUGAAAUCCCUCGGCUUAACCGGGGAACUGCGUCUGAUACUGGAUGGCUUGAGAUUGGGAGAGGGACGCGGAAUUCCAGGUGUAGCGGUGAAAUGCGUAGAUAUCUUGAGGAACACCGGUGGCGAAGGCGGCGUCCUGGACCAACACUGACACUGAUGAGCGAAAGCCAGGGGAGCAAACGGG